rnacentral:rRNA from 1 species
UUCCUACGGGCGGCUGCAGUGGGGAAUAUUGCACAAUGGGCGCAAGCCUGAUGCAGCGACGCCGCGUGAGGGAUGAAGGCCUUCGGGUUGUAAACCUCUUUCAGCAGGGAAGAAGCGCAAGUGACGGUACCUGCAGAAGAAGCGCCGGCUAACUACGUGCCAGCAGCCGCGGUAAUACGUAGGGCGCAAGCGUUGUCCGGAAUUAUUGGGCGUAAAGAGCUCGUAGGCGGUCUGUCGCGUCUGCUGUGAAAACUCGAGGCUCAACCUCGGGCUUGCAGUGGGUACGGGCAGACUAGAGUGCGGUAGGGGAGACUGGAAUUCCUGGUGUAGCGGUGGAAUGCGCAGAUAUCAGGAGGAACACCGAUGGCGAAGGCAGGUCUCUGGGCCGCAACUGACGCUGAGGAGCGAAAGCAUGGGGAGCGAACAGGAUUAGAUACCCUGGUAGUCG